GGUUAAGCGACUAAGCGUACACGGUGGAUGCCCUGGCAGUCAGAGGCGAUGAAGGACGUGCUAAUCUGCGAAAAGCGUCGGUAAGGUGAUAUGAACCGUUACAGCCGGCGAUGUCCGAAUGGGGAAACCCAGUGCAAUUCGUUGCACUAUCGUUAACUGAAUACAUAGGUUAACGAGGCGAACCGGGGGAACUGAAACAUCUAAGUACCCCGAGGAAAAGAAAUCAACCGAGAUUCCCCCAGUAGCGGCGAGCGAACGGGGAGCAGCCCAGAGUCUGAAUCAGCUUGUGUGUUAGUGGAACGGUCUGGAAAGUCCGACGGUACAGGGUGAUAGUCCCGUACACCAAAAUGCACAGGCUGUGAACUCGAAGAGUAGGGCGGGACACGUGGUAUCCUGUCUGAAUAUGGGGGGACCAUCCUCCAAGGCUAAAUACUCCUGACUGACCGAUAGUGAACCAGUACCGUGAGGGAAAGGCGAAAAGAACCCCGGCGAGGGGAGUGAAAAAGAACCUGAAACCGUGUACGUACAAGCAGUGGGAGCACCUUUAUGGUGUGACUGCGUACCUUUUGUAUAAUGGGUCAGCGACUUAUAUUCUGUAGCAAGGUUAACCGUAUAGGGGAGCCGCAGGGAAACCGAGUCUUAACUGGGCGUUAAGUUGCAGGGUAUAGACCCGAAACCCGGUGAUCUAGCCAUGGGCAGGUUGAAGGUUGGGUAACACUAACUGGAGGACCGAACCGACUAAUGUUGAAAAAUUAGCGGAUGACUUGUGGCUGGGGGUGAAAGGCCAAUCAAACCGGGAGAUAGCUGGUUCUCCCCGAAAGCUAUUUAGGUAGCGCCUCGUGAACUCAUCUUCGGGGGUAGAGCACUGUUUCGGCUAGGGGGUCAUCCCGACUUACCAACCCGAUGCAAACUACGAAUACCGAAGAAUGUUAUCACGGGAGACACACGGCGGGUGCUAACGUCCGUCGUGAAGAGGGAAACAACCCAGACCGCCAGCUAAGGUCCCAAAGUCAUGGUUAAGUGGGAAACGAUGUGGGAAGGCACAGACAGCCAGGAUGUUGGCUUAGAAGCAGCCAUCAUUUAAAGAAAGCGUAAUAGCUCACUGGUCGAGUCGGCCUGCGCGGAAGAUGUAACGGGGCUAAACCAUGCACCGAAGCUGCGGCAGCGACACGAUGUGUUGUUGGGUAGGGGAGCGUUCUGUAAGCCUGCGAAGGUGACCUGUGAGGGUUGCUGGAGGUAUCAGAAGUGCGAAUGCUGACAUAAGUAACGAUAAAGCGGGUGAAAAGCCCGCUCGCCGGAAGACCAAGGGUUCCUGUCCAACGUUAAUCGGGGCAGGGUGAGUCGACCCCUAAGGCGAGGCCGAAAGGCGUAGUCGAUGGGAAACAGGUUAAUAUUCCUGUACUUGGUGUUACUGCGAAGGGGGGACGGAGAAGGCUAUGUUAGCCGGGCGACGGUUGUCCCGGUUUAAGCAUGUAGGCUGGUUAUCCAGGCAAAUCCGGAUAAUCAAGGCUGAGGUGUGAUGACGAGGCACUACGGUGCUGAAGUAACAAAUGCCCUGCUUCCAGGAAAAGCCUCUAAGCAUCAGGUAACAUCAAAUCGUACCCCAAACCGACACAGGUGGUCAGGUAGAGAAUACCAAGGCGCUUGAGAGAACUCGGGUGAAGGAACUAGGCAAAAUGGUGCCGUAACUUCGGGAGAAGGCACGCUGGUGUGUAGGUGAAGUCCCUGCGGAUGGAGCUGAGACCAGUCGAAGAUACCAGCUGGCUGCAACUGUUUAUUAAAAACACAGCACUGUGCAAACACGAAAGUGGACGUAUACGGUGUGACGCCUGCCCGGUGCCGGAAGGUUAAUUGAUGGGGUUAUCCGUAAGGAGAAGCUCUUGAUCGAAGCCCCGGUAAACGGCGGCCGUAACUAUAACGGUCCUAAGGUAGCGAAAUUCCUUGUCGGGUAAGUUCCGACCUGCACGAAUGGCGUAAUGAUGGCCAGGCUGUCUCCACCCGAGACUCAGUGAAAUUGAACUCGCUGUGAAGAUGCAGUGUACCCGCGGCAAGACGGAAAGACCCCGUGAACCUUUACUAUAGCUUGACACUGAACAUUGAGCCUUGAUGUGUAGGAUAGGUGGGAGGCUUUGAAGCGUGGACGCCAGUCUGCGUGGAGCCAACCUUGAAAUACCACCCUUUAAUGUUUGAUGUUCUAACGUUGGCCCCUUAUCGGGGUUGCGGACAGUGUCUGGUGGGUAGUUUGACUGGGGCGGUCUCCUCCCAAAGCGUAACGGAGGAGCACGAAGGUUAGCUAAUCCUGGUCGGACAUCAGGAGGUUAGUGCAAUGGCAUAAGCUAGCUUGACUGCGAGCGUGACGGCGCGAGCAGGUGCGAAAGCAGGUCAUAGUGAUCCGGUGGUUCUGAAUGGAAGGGCCAUCGCUCAACGGAUAAAAGGUACUCCGGGGAUAACAGGCUGAUACCGCCCAAGAGUUCAUAUCGACGGCGGUGUUUGGCACCUCGAUGUCGGCUCAUCACAUCCUGGGGCUGAAGUAGGUCCCAAGGGUAUGGCUGUUCGCCAUUUAAAGUGGUACGCGAGCUGGGUUUAGAACGUCGUGAGACAGUUCGGUCCCUAUCUGCCGUGGGCGCUGGAGAAUUGAGGGGGGCUGCUCCUAGUACGAGAGGACCGGAGUGGACGCAUCACUGGUGUUCGGGUUGUCAUGCCAAUGGCACUGCCCGGUAGCUAAAUGCGGAAGAGAUAAGUGCUGAAAGCAUCUAAGCACGAAACUUGCCCCGAGAUGAGUUCUCCCUGAGACUUUAAGUCUCCUGAAGGAACGUUGAAGACGACGACGUUGAUAGGCCGGGUGUGUAAGCGCAGCGAUGCGUUGAGCUAACCGGUACUAAUGAACCGUGAGGCUUAACCUU
rnacentral:rRNA from 1 species